rnacentral:lncRNA from 1 species
AUAUUUCAUAAAUUGACUUGAUGUAUUUCUCCCCCUCUGUGGUUUUCUUGAAAGAUGAGAACGGUCCAGAAGACAAACAAAGUGCAGAAGAAACGGAAGGCCAGAGCCAAGAAGCAGAUGGUGCCACCACUGCCACGGUGCCCAGCCCUGCUUCAGAAGAGACAGCUGACGUCUGUAAGGAUGAAGGUAUGAAACCACUUACUGGAUUUUAAAAUCCCAAACUCUUAAAAGACGACCAUUUGGGCUUAGUUGACAGGGCAAAUGAAGCAGUCGGCAAAUUUAGCUAAUCCCCUUUAAGCUUCUCCAUUCCAACACAAUCUAAUAUCCCAC